UACGGGGGGGGGCACGCGUUGUUCGGAAUUACUGGGCGUAAAGGGCUCGUAGGCGGCCAACUAAGUCAGACGUGAAAUCCCCAGGCUCAACCUGGGAACUGCGUCUGAUACUGGAUGGCUUGAAUCCGGGAGAGGGAUGCAGAAUUCCAGGUGUAGCGGUGAAAUGCGUAGAUAUCUGGAGGAACACCGGUGGCGAAGGCGGCAUCCUGGACCAACACUGACACUGAGGAGCGAAAGCCAGGGGAGCAAACGGG
rnacentral:rRNA from 1 species